rnacentral:rRNA from 1 species
GGAAUUUUGGACAAUGGGCGCAAGCCUGAUCCAGCAAUGCCGCGUGAGUGAAGAAGGCCUUCGGGUUGUAAAGCUCUUUUGUCAGGGAAGAAACGGUGGGGGCUAAUAUCCUCCACUAAUGACGGUACCUGACGAAUAAGCACCGGCUCACUACGUGCCAGCAGCCGCGGUAAUACGUAGGGUGCAAGCGUUAAUCGGAAUUACUGGGCGUAAAGCGUGCGCAGGCGGUUUUGGAAGUCUGUCGUGAAAUCCCCGGGCUCAACCCGGGAAUUGCGAUGGAGACUGUAAGGCUAGAAUCUGGCAGAGGGGGGUAGAAUUCCACGUGUAGCAGUGAAAUGCGUAGAGAUGUGGAGGAACACCGAUGGCGAAGGCAGCCCCCUGGGUCAAGAUUGACGCUCAUGCACGAAAGCGUGGGGAGCAAAC